GGGGAAUAUUUGCGGCAAUGGGCGGAAACCCUGACGCAGCAACGCCGCGUGGGUGAUGACAUGCCUUCGGGUCGUAAAGCCCUGUCGGGAGGGAAAAAAUGAUUGGGAGCUAAUACCUCUUGGUCUUGACGGUACCUCCGAAGGAAGCACCGGCUAACUCCGUG
rnacentral:rRNA from 1 species